UACGAUCAUACCUUUUGAAAACCCUAAUCUCCUCAAAACACCAUCAGCCAUCGUCAAACCACUUCUCAUGUCUCUUAUUUCUCUCUUAGGCCCCGUCAUCCGUUUUUUGUAUCAACACCCUCCGUCCUUCCCCCAUUAACAUUCACGUGCUUACCUAAAUCUUCUUCCCUCUCAACAGGAUGAUUGAUUCCCAGGAAAACCCUACCCGAAGACAUCUAUGUUGUAGACAUGCUCCCUUCCCUCACCCUGUCGACGAUGUGUACCCUCAUCCAACUCGGUUUGUGUUCAAGUUCUAUCUGUAAAUAAAUCUGAAGCACAUCUUGUGUGUCUCUCUUCCCAUCGAUUCUUGUUGGUCAACCUCUUCUUAUACUUGGAUUUGCAGAACCUACAAUCAUUAUGUAUACAUACUUGUAUAAUUUUGCGAAAGGGAUACAAGAUUUGGGUUAACAACUAUUCUUAGCUUGGGCAGGAUGGGUAUGCACACGGACAACCCUACUCUUGUUUCUUUUGGCGAUUUUUAAUGCUUGUGCUAUUAUCAGUAGAUUCACAAGGAUUGCAGGGGAAACAUUUGAGAUGUUAAUUUCUGUACUUUUCAUUUAAGAGGCCAUCAAGGUAUUUAGCCAUGUAGAAAAAACGUUAUGAUGAUGAUAAUUUGAGAAAAUAUUUCAAGUUUGUUUUGGAUUAAUUCUGGUUUUGUUGACUCGGGACUGGUGAGUGAGUUCAAAGCUCCCAAAUCUGUUGAACCAAAUUCACCCAAAGAUCAAUUUCAGUGGCUUUACACUAAUGGAUUGCUUGGUAUUAUAUUUUCAUUUGGACUUCUAUACACUGCAUUAAGAAGUAGGAGAGCAAGAUCCUGGUUGUAUGGAACAUGUAUAUCAAGUUUAUUGCAACCUGGUGGCUUAACUAUAUUCUAUAUCAUCUUAACAUGUAGUUAUUCUUUUGAAUACUUAAUACAGGGUGUCUUAGAAGCUUCAUAGCAGACUAUGGGGUUCCAUUGAUGGUUGUAGUGUGGACAUCACUCUCUAUGUACUAAGCAAAGUUCCAUCUGGUGUUCCUAGAAGUCUCUUUAUCCAACUCUUAUGGGAUUCUGAAUCUUUAUACCUUUGGACUAUAAUCAAGUUAUAUUUUUGCAAAUUUCUGUUUACUUUGGAGAAAAAUCUUGCAUCCUAAUCUUUAAUUUGUUAUAAUUGACUUGUAGGACAUGGGCAGGGUUCCUCCAAUUUAUAUCUUGGUUGCCUUCAUCCCAACAGUUAUGAUAGUUGGGCUGUAUUUCUUUAACCAUAGCAUUGCAUCAAUGAACAAAGAGUCAGCAACUUUCUACAAUUGAUUCUCUUAGCAGUGUCUAUAUGUGUCAUGCCCUUAAUAACGUUGAUACCCACAUCGGUUUUAUGGGGCUAUUUUGCUUACAUAGCAAUUGACACUCUUCCUGGAAACCAAUUUUGGGAAAGAAUCUUACUUAUUUUUGUUCCCCAUAGUCGAAUAUACAAGGUUCUUGAAAGGGUUCACGCUUCUUUUGUUGAAUAUGUGCCAUAUAGAACCAUUUUCAUGUUCACGAUCUUCCAGAUUGUCUAUUUCCUUAUGUGUUUUGGUGUGACAUGGAUACCUAUCGUUGCCAUUCUCUUCCCUGUUCCAUUCUUCCUUCUCAUCACAAUACAACAACACAUUCUACCAAAACAUGAUUUUAUAUGUUGGGACUCGUGGUAGGCGAGAGGUAUUACAAACGGAUCCUUGAACGCAACUUUCAUGACCUCAACAAAGGUGUGCGUGUAAAUCAGACCUCAAAACUUGCGACUAAAAAAUUAUUGAAUUUACUGUAUCAGUUCCUAGAAAAUUCGGAUAGGGUAAAGGACACUGCAAAUUGUAAAAUUGUUGAGGUAAAAGUUUUUCUACUUCUUUAGCCUUGAAAUUUUGUAUUUUUUUUCUUUUAAUCAUCAUUUCCAUGCUUGUAAUUACAUAUUUUGUAUUGAUUAUAUGUUUUUAUAUAUAUAUAUUUUUUUUUGAAUUUGCCAACUUACCCUUUAUCAGUAAGGGUUGCAGCAAUGAUUCCAGCAUAUACAUGAAGCCAGAGGAAUUAUAAUAGAAGUAAAAUCACAAAAGACAUAUAUAACCUUUAUCACGUGUCAUGAGUUUUAGUAAAUAUUGUACCUGGAUAAUUCUCACUCAGCUUUUGGAGGGCUGGAGGGCAAGUCACAGCAGAUACCUAAAUAUUUAAGAUAAAUUUAAGAAAUCUUGAAAUUAAUAAAUUGAUUAUUGCUUUUCAUUUUGGAAGGAGGAAAUCAUUUAAUAAUUGAUUUUCUAUAAUACUAAAUCUCAUUUGAUAGUUAGUUAAUUAGUUACCUAGGUGGUAUGUCUUGGUUGCUGGCAAGAUGGAUGCUCCAUGUUCUGCAAGAGCAAGUCCAACUCUUAGAUUGGGAACGACAUGUAAACACAAGGGUAUUUGUGUAAAUUUACACACAUAAUAGAAAGUGUUUAUAAUAAAGCAUAAUGUAAGGAAUUGAUAUACUAACCGCUACAGGUUCUCUUGGAUCAAUAAAUUCAACUGUAGCAGGCCCAAGUGGGGACUGAAUCUCCCCUGAAAUUGUAGGCUGCAAAAAAAUAAACAUACUAGAUUAAUGAUUAAAGCAAGAAAUUGCAAUGCACUUUGAUAUAUUUGUUUAUUAUAACAUCCUACUUUCAUUUAUGUCUAUUACAGCACUGUAUUAUCAAAUAAAUUCUUAUUAAGGAAUUGUAUUUUCGCCACAA